rnacentral:rRNA from 1 species
GAUGAACGCUGGCGGCGUGCCUAAUACAUGCAAGUCGAGCGAACAGACGAGAAGCUUGCUCCUCUGAUGUUAGCGGCGGACGGGUGAGUAACACGUGGAUAACCUACCUAUAAGACUGGGAUAACUUCGGGAAACCGGAGCUAAUACCGGAUGAUAUUUUGAACCGCAUGGUUCAAAAGUGAAAGACGGUUUUGCUGUCACUUAUAGAUGGAUCCGCGCCGCAUUAGCUAGUUGGUAAGGUAACGGCUUACCAAGGCAACGAUGCGUAGCCGACCUGAGAGGGUGAUCGGCCACACUGGAACUGAGACACGGUCCAGACUCCUACGGGAGGCAGCAGUAGGGAAUCUUCCGCAAUGGGCGAAAGCCUGACGGAGCAACGCCGCGUGAGUGAUGAAGGUCUUCGGAUCGUAAAACUCUGUUAUUAGGGAAGAACAAAUGUGUAAGUAACUAUGCACGUCUUGACGGUACCUAAUCAGAAAGCCACGGCUAACUACGUG